AUGAUAUGUAAAAUAAUUUUCAAGAUAAUAAAGAGAUUAAUUGAGGAUGACUAGCCAAUGAUUAUAAAGGAGGUAUAAAUACCAAAUAUCCUAGCUAAUAAUUUCAAGCUUAGCUAAAUCUAGGAUUAUCCUAUGGGAAACCAAAAAUUUUUAAAUAAAUAAAUAACCUUAUGAACUGAAACAUCUAAGUAAUAAGAGGAAAAAAAAUCAACUGAGAUUCUGCUAGUAGUGGUGAGCGAAAACAGAUAAGCCUGCCGGCAUAAAGCUGGCUAUAAUAUAUAAUUUAAUUAUGAAUAAUUAAUUUCUUCCCCGGUAUUAUAUAAAUGCUUUGGGAUUAAUGAAAUUUCUGGAAGUGAGAUAUACCAAAGAGGGUGAUAGUCCCGUAAUAAUUAAAUUAUAAUUUGUUCAUUCGUUACUUUUGUAAUGGAUAGUAAUAACAAAUAAUUAUGCUUAAAGCAUAAUUUAUAUAAAAAAAGUAAGAUGGAAGAUAAUCUGUCUGAAUAAGGGGAACCAUCCUCUAAGGCUAAAUAUGAAUCAUUGAGCGAUAGUGAAUAGUACCGUGAGGGAAACGUUGAAAAGCAAGUAGAUAACUGGUGAAAUAGAUCCUGAAUCAAUAAUCUUAUAAGCAGUCGGAGUAUGAAAAAAAUAAAAUAGUAUGACGACGUACCUUUUGCAUCAUGGGUCAGCGAGUUUAUAGGUAGUGCAAGUAAAUUUAAUGAAAUAAGAAAUUUCUUAUAAUAAUUAAAUACUUAGUGAAAGCGAUCAUAAAUUAUUUAUUAAUAUAUGAGGAAAGUACUAUAUAUAAGACCCGAAACCAGGUGAUCUUACCAUGGCCAGGUGUAAGACCGAACCAACUACUGUUGCAAUAGUACUGGAUGAGCUGUGGUAGGGAGUGAAAGGCUAAUCUUACCUGGAGAUAGCUGGUAUUCUGCGAAACCUAUUUAGGUAGGAUCUAUAUUUGAAUUAUAGCAAGUAGUGCUCUGCUUUUAGCAAUCCAUUUGUUAUUAUGAUAAAUGGGAUUGCAUUAAAAAUGCAAUUUAUAUUUAAUGGGGGGAUUAUUAUGAUUCUAUCCACUGAAGGCAAUCAAACCAAUGGUUAUAAAUUCAAGAUAUAGGGUCAGACUAUGGGUGCUAAGGCCGAUAGUCGAAUGGGGAAGAGCCCAGAAUAGUAACUAAGGUCCCUAAAUAAAUACUAAGUGAAUAUAAGGUAGUGUUGUAUAGAAAACAUCCAUUAUGUAGGCUUGGAGGCAGCAAUCAUUUAGAGAAAGCGUAAAUGCUCAAUGGUCUUUUUAAUAUAUGAUGCACCAAUAAUUUAACGGGUCUAAAGUAUUUUACCGAUGUUCUAUCUGCAAAAUAAUAUUAAUAAUUUACCUAGCCUUCGGGAUAGGCCUUUUUGUUUAUCAAAUAAGGUGGUUCCUAGUGAACUGUUAUAAAAAUUUGCUGGGUAGCAGAACAUACUAUAAAUGGAAUGAAGGGUAUUUUUUAAUUACCUUGACAUAAUAGUAGAGAUUAUGCUGACAUGAGUAACGCAAAAGCAUUAAAAUAUGCUUCACCGAAUGCCUAAGGGUUCCAUAGAAAAAUUAAAUUGCUAUGGGUUAAACGGUCUCUAAGAAUAUAAGCGAAAGCUUUGAUUGAUGAGGAAUUUAUUAUAAAUAUAUUUAAUAAAAAGUAAAUUAAUUAAAAAUUGAUUUAUUUUUUUUAUUUAUACAGGAAAAAAUAAUAUAAAAUAUACCGUACUCUAAACCGACACUGGUAGGCAGGUAGAAUAUACUAAGGUGUUGAGAGAACUCUCCUGAAGGAACUAGGCAAAAUAACUCUGUAAUUUCGAAAGAAAGAGUGGCUAUUAAAUUGUAUAAUUUGAUAGCUGGCACAUAAAUGUGAGGUACGACUGUUUACUAAAAACACAGCACUUUGCCAACAUAAUAAUGGAUGUAUAAAGUGUGAUACCUGCUCAAUGCCAAACGUAUAAAUUUUUUGGUUUCACGAUCAAAAAUUAAACAUUGGUCAAUAGCGGCUGUAACUAUGACAGUCCUAAGGUAGCGAAAUACCUAGUCGGAUAAUUGCCGACGUGCAUGAAUGGUUUAACGAUACUUCAACUGUCUCCAGGAGAGACUCAGUGAAAUUGAACUAACCGUGAUGAUGCGGUUUACCUACAGCUAGACACGAAGACCCUAUGAAGCUUUACUGUAGUUAAUUAUUGUUAAUUUUAUAUUAAGAUACAGCAAUAAGGUAGUUGAUUAAACAAAACUGAGAGCCCUUAACUUAAUAUAAAAUUAACUAAGAUAAUAUUCAAUCUUUAUAUAGCUUCUUUCUUGUACCUUUUAGGUAAAGGUUUUGAAGGUUUUUGACUUUCAGAAUCUUAUAGGCUGAAAUAUAUAAAGUAUCUUGAAUAUUCUUCCCCCUCCUGCGGAGGGGGACCUGGAAAAUUUUAUAAAAUAAUAGCUUCUCUAUUAGGAGGAGAUCUGUCUUUCGGGACAGAUAAAAUAUUAAUUUAUAAAGGUACCCCAAAGGGAAAAUGAUUAAUUGGCAGUUUACCUGGGGCGGGAUUCUCAUAAAUAGUAUCUGAGAAGUACAAAGGUUUGUUUAAAUUGGAUGGAAACCAAUGGGUUUAUGAUAACCUAAUUAAGCGUAAUGGUAUAAACAAGCUUAACUGUAAGACAAAAAAGUCGAACAGACGCGUAAGCGGGUCAUAGUGAUCCGAUAGUUUCAUUAUGGAAUGGCUAUCGCACAACUGAUAAAAGUUACUCUAGGGAUAACAGGCUAGUCACUGACGAGAGUCCAUAUUGACUCAGUGGUCCGGCACCUCGAUGUCGACUCAUCUUUUCCUGGGGGUUGUAGUUGCUCCCAAGGGUUCGACUGUUCGUCGAGUAAAAAGGUACGUGAGUUGGGUUUAAUACGAUGUGAAUCAGUAUUGAUUAUAUCUACUGUAGGAGUUAGAAUAAGAAUAGCAGUUUAUCUUAGUACGCAAGGACCAGAUUAAGUGCACCUAUGGUUUACCAGUUGUAUAACAUUAUAAUUAAUGAAUGCAUGGCUGGAAAGCUAUGUGCAUAAAUGAUAACUACUGAAAGCAUAUAAGUAGGAAACAGAGCUAUGAAUUAUUCUUUUCCUUACAUUCUUUGGAUGUAAAAGGAAUUAAAUUAGCAAUAGACUAUUGCUUUGAUAGGCUACCCAAUAUUAUAACAAAUAGGGAAGUUAACUUUUUAGU
rnacentral:rRNA from 1 species